rnacentral:rRNA from 1 species
UACGAAGGGUGCAAGCGUUAAUCGGAAUUACUGGGCGUAAAGGGUGCGUAGGCGGUUAUUUAAGUCUGCCGUGAAAUCCCCGGGCUCAACCUGGGAAUGGCGGUGGAUACUGGAUAGCUAGAGUGUGUCAGAGGAUGGUGGAAUUCCCGGUGUAGCGGUGAAAUGCGUAGAGAUCGGGAGGAACACCGGUGGCGAAGGCGGGUCUCUGGGCAAUUCCUGACGCUGAGGCGCGAAAGCGUGGGGAGCAAACGGG